UCCAAACACAAACAAGGUGUAGUAAGUUGUAAUUGUAACCCAGUUUGUGAACGACUCACUGGCACCCUUAUUAGAAAAACGUUAAAUCGGUUUCUCUGAGUUGGUGGUAAUAAGAUGAGGUAAAUCUGUAUAUAAGAAAUCAAAAAUGGCGACGGAUCUCAAAAUCAGGGUGAUUCAAAAACCAUAGGCUGUAGUACAAGAAUCAAAGAAGAACCAGCGAAACUUAUUAGGAAACCUCAAAACCCUAAUUGGCAUCCUUCAUUCGCAUCUAGUAGCUGCAAUUUUGUUGGAGAAGGGAAUAAUGAUGGAGAAUUUGAGUUUAGAUUUGGUAUUUGAAAUACUUAAUCGAUUACCAGUCAAAUCAUUCUUGCAAUGCAGAAGAGUAAGCAAAAUCUGGCGAAAUCUAUUGGGGAAAUCAAAGACAGGUAUGUUUUUCACUAAAAAACCUAUAUAUUGCUAUGAUGAUUGUAAACUCCAUUAUAUAGAACAAUUUUCUGAGAUGUUAGUAAAUUCAAAUUGUACCCAAGAACAACCACAAAAUUCAAAUUGUACCCAAGAACAACCACAAAAUUUUCACAAGACUGUUACAGAGAUAGGCAGUGUAUUUACUCGUAUUUAUCCCUUCAACUUGAUUGGUUCUUGCAAUGGUUUGGUAUGUUAUGAUACUUGGGAGCCCAAAUUCGGUGUUGUUAUCUACAUUGUCAAUACCAUCAAUAGUGAACCUGUCCGUUUUCCUCCUGAGAAGCCUACGAGUACUUUUCCUCUUCAGUCUUUUGUUUGUGCUGGAUUCAGUUAUUGUCAUUCCAGUGAUUCCACAGAUUAUAAAUUGGUUAAGACUUUUUACCUUGGUACCGAUGGCAAGUGACACAUCCAAGUUUGCACUCUUGGUGAUAGCAACGGGUGGAGAGACAAACCAGAAAUUAGCUAUAAGUUCUCGAAAUCGGGUGUUUUUGCUAAUGGGGCUCUGCAUUGGUUAAUUAAUGUUAGAAGAUCUAAGUGUGAUACUGUAGCCUUUGAUUUAGCAUAUGAAACAUUUCAACAUCUUCCGUCACCUGUUCGUCAUUUUCCUUCCAAUUCCUCUAUAUAUUUUUUUAUUUUUCCAAUUCCUCUAUUAGUGUUACGCUUGAAGGGGAUCUUUGUUUGUGUCUUCCUGACAUAAAGCAAGGAGAACCUAUGAUGAAUGUAUGGGUAUUCAAGAAGAAAAAUAUCAACAACUGCCGACGUAGUACUCGCUUGAAAGCACGUAGCUACAUUAACUCUUUUACUUGGAUCAAGGUGUUCAGCAAUAAAUUGGAUUCAGGCUCAAAGUGCCAGCUAUCAUCCCUCACUGCGACUGAAAUUAUACUAUAGCAAAAUGGCGUUAUCUCUUGUUAUGACCUUAAAGCUACAACUUCAACGAAACUAUGGUGUACUGAAGGCGCAAAAGGUUUCAAUGAGAAAUUACCAAAAGGACGAAGAAACUCAAAAUCAUGUCAACUUCGAUAGUAAUUGCUCUGCUGCAUUAGUGUUUUGUAAGCUGAAUUCACUGUAAUGUGAUGAAGCAGAGUUACAUCGACAAAUAGAUCUCGAGGAUGUAAUUGCAGAAAGUCUCAUAUGGAUGAUGAGUAUGUAAAUGCUAAUCAAAGGGAUCCAACGAUUUUGAUUACCAUCUUUGUAGCUUCUCCUCCUGUAAUUCUUGUCAACUUCUGUAGCAGGGUAAACUUAUCCUCAUGUGAAACUUAUUGUCCUGUAAUUCUCGACAUGGUUAUUUAUGUUCUUUUCUGUAUGAAGAGGUGCAUCAUAUUUACUGGUUGAUUUUGAUGAUAGUUAGGUGAAAAGACAGGCUAUAUCUUAAAGAAUUUCGUUAUAGUGUCAAAACCAGAUUUAAAGCGCAUUUUUCAAGAGUUGUCUUUCUGCAAGUCUGGUAAAGAAUUUUGUAGACAAUAUUCUCCAAACCAGUGCUACUUACAUAAAAUAUAAAAUUUUGUCUUACUUUUGUGUCACCAUUGGAUCGUUGAUAGUCAUCAGUACAUUAUGUUUACAUAUCCCGAUAUGCGUGGCCAAAAUAAGUUAAAAGUAAAGCAUGUAGAUAAGUUUUUGGUCUAUUUACUAUUGGUAUUCGAGGUUCUGGUUCUUUUUUGGUUGAACUGUUGUUACAAAUGUAUUGAUCUUGAAUGCAGUGGGACUAUCUUGCUUCAGGUUUGAUUUUGUUCGUGGAUAUUCAGGCAUCAUGUCUAUGACAAACCUGGGGGUCCCAAAUCAAUCAUUGUAGGAAGUUGGCCAACGUUUUGAAUGAAGGCUUUACCAGGCUUAGAGAUUGUCAAUGUUUUGCUCAAGUGAGACUGCACCACAUCUAUUGCUUGAAAAUUGUUUAUUUGCUCCCUUAAGAUUUCUGUUGUUCAUGAAAUGGCUGCCUUUGGCUCUCGAUAUCUCUUUCCCGUUUUUUGUUGUUGUGGUGUAUCAGAUCAAAUUAGGAGCAGUUGAUCAGAAUGAAGCCCCUACAGAGUUUGUCGUGCGGCCAUAGAUACCCAGAAACAAAAGAUUCUCGGAGAAUGAGAUGAUUGAAGAACAACCUGAAUGUCACAAGCUAGUGACUAGGAAGGUUGUCUUUGAUUGCCAAAGAGUGCAACUGGUGUGUUUCAAAUUUUGAUGUGAUUGAGCAUCCUGGGAAACCCCGGAAAUUCUAGUUUUGGUCUGUCCCGCCUCGUACAGAUGUGGGGCCCCUUGACCUGUGGUUUUUUCUGUCAUGUGGGUUCUUACAUAGAACAGGAUGAACCUACGAGGGAUUUAUGGGUACUCAUGAAGAAAAAUAUGAACAGCCUAUGUUGUGAAGGGGCGCCAAGAUGUGCACAAUGUUUUUUUCCACAGGUGCCCUAAGCGCUAGACGAGGGGCGCCAAGAUGUGCAACUGGAUGUGGUACUCUUUCGAAAGCGUGCACCUACAGUAACUCUUUUUACAUGGAUCAAGGUGCUCAAAAGAAAAAUUGGAUUCAGGCUCUAAGUGCCAACUAUUAUCGUUAACGGAGACUGAAAUUUUGCUUUGGCAAAAUGGCGCUCUCUUGUUGUAUGACCUUAAAUCUACAAUUUCAACGAAACGAAACUAUAGUGUACUGAAUGUAUAAAAGGAUUAUGAUCAAGCAACGUUGAAAGAUUUUGGAGAACUCCAAAGAG